ensembl:lncRNA
CGCAGUCUGCUGGCUGACCUUCAUCCCUCAGAUCUCUGACCAGAACAUGAGCUUUGGCUGUGAGGUGCAGAACACAGCCCUGCUGAAGCCCAUCUUAGAGGAGUUCACGCUGCACAUCCCAGUGGAUUCUACCCUGACAACGUGUCUAUUCUCUGGAUCCAGAAUGGAAAGGUUCUUCCUAACUGUACUUUGUCCGUCCAGAAUGAGGAAGGAAUGUACGGGAGACAUCAGUAUCUCACCCUGAGUGCGGAGGAGAGGAGCAGAGGAGGAGAGGUGCAGUGUGUGGCCAGCCACCUGAUGUGAAAGAACCUGCCUUUGGAACUAUUGACCUCUCCGCCGUUGACCCACAAGAGAAGCUGAAGUCUCUGAACAUCUCAGCGAUUGUUCUGCCCCCCAGGGUGGUUGUGAGUAAGAAAGGCAGAGUCACCAUCAGUGUGGAAGGCAGGUUGGCAGAGAGAGUACAGACCACAUGGUUUCUCAAUGAUGUCCCCAUUACAGACACUGCAUACAGAGAGAAAAAAUAUGGUCCUUUUUGCUUGGCAGCCUAUACUCCUCACAGCUCUCAUGUGUCUUUGGUGUCGGAGAAAAGCUCUCUGCUGCCCUCUGCUGCUGCCUCAGGAUAUUACAAGCUGCACACUCAGAUGUUGCCAUGCUUGUUCUCCUGCUCCAUGAAGCAGCUGUUCUCCUCCGUCACAUUUAUAACAAACCUGUCCAUUCACAAGGGUGCAGUUUUCAAAUGCCACAUCUCGUAUAAGGGCAAAGACAAGCUUGUGGCCAAGAGAGUUUCCGACAAGUUUACUAUUCAAGCACCACCUGAAGUUUCAUUGAUCCAGUUCUCAGAGUCAAAUGAGGAAGGAGGCGUUGUGACCAUGAUGGCCCAGGCCUCUGGCUUUCAUCCGGACAUCACCACCUUCCGCUGGUUCUGUGAGGGCAGCGAGCUGAGCCCCGUGUCUGUCCCGCAGGUGCUGGCGGCCCCUCGGCCAGAUGCUGCAGGCUUCUUCUCUUCUUCUGCAGGCCCC